UAGCGCCCUUUGGCAAGAUAUCAUUCCACACUUUGCCACUCUCCACCCAGGUGUUAAAUGGAUACCAUGUAGGAUUCAAAAGCCUAUGUAGCAUUCCUGGCAGUGGAGUCUUGGAAGUCAUUGGAAUGCUCCCCAGGAAAUGGAGAAAGUGCAUGUUGCGUACGGGCAUGUCAGGAUCCGAUGACCGGGGUAGUAAUAUAUCUGUAAAGCGCUUAGAGACACUGUUCCAAUGUAUUAAGUGCUAUAUAAAAACUGUUUAUCAUUUAGAAAAGCAAGAUCUAACAUGUACAAAGUAGCAGUGGUAGCAGCAACAUCACUACCAAUGGCGACGCCAACAUCAGCAACACUGUUCUGCCUAUCACAAAUGGAGAGAAGCGCUGUGGAUCUGUGGUACUGUACAUGCUCAUUAUGAAGAAGUCUAGUGUGCCUUUUUUAACUCGCGGGUGGUGGAGAGAAGCGAUGUUACAUCACAGAGCUGCCAAGUAGUACAGAUUUUCAGUAUUUAGUACUGAAAAAUGAGAAGAAUGCUGAUGGUUUCAUGCAAAAUACUGAUUUCUCAUGUUUCAGUUUCAUGUGUUGUCCUAUGGUAUUUCUUUGAAAAUACUGAUUUCCUCGACAAAAUACUUAUUUUCAGCUUUAAAAAUACUGAAAUGUUCUUGUUCAGGUUGGCAGCUCUGGAUGUAGAUCAAAUGCCUGUGUGUUACCCGAGAAUAUGAAUUUGCAUCGUGUAAAUUCAUAUUGAUUCUAGCAGUACUGAACAAAUGUUUUUUUCCAUGCAAUACCUCUAUUUCAUUACUGUUGCAAGUGGAAGAACAGCAGACUGUCAUGUUACACAUUUAUUUAUAGUAUUACUCUGUUGCCUGUGUUUCCGAAGUCCAGAUUAAUUUUAGGCCAUGGUCUAAUACUGAACUUAUCGGAAACUGAAAAUGUAAAAAUUUAGUUUAAAUUGUGUAUUAUGUAUACGCAGCUCAUUUCUCAUGCUCUAAUGAUGAAGAAAACUAAGAUAGGUUUUAUUCCCAGGUAGUUAUGAGUGAUGUUGAAUGUUGCUGAACGAUCUGGUACGGUGAACUUCCCCUUUAAAGAUUUGUGUCACUAUUGGCUAUACUUCGACCACAACUUAAGACCAGUGUUUUCCCUUAAACCAGAGUUCAGAGUAUGGGCCGAUGAACAAGUUAUUCAACUCUAUCUUUAUGCAGGGAAUACAGAAUGAGAACAUUCAUUUACAUAUACAUCCGUCCUGCUGAAUAUUGUCAGCAUCUAUGCAAGUACAGUGCCUUUUCUACACAUUGAGGAUGUGACAUGUUUAAAUUAGAUAUCAGGCUGUUUUGACUGUAUGCAAACUUUUGCCACUUAGAUAUGCAAUGUAAUGUGUAAGAAAUUGUAGCGGAUACUGGUGAAAUACAGUAUGGUGAUUUCAAGCCCAUUGUUGGAAAACUAUGUGGCGUAUUAUCACCCCCUUAUAGUAAUUGUACAACACCCUACUAAGCUUGUAUGGAAGCAAAUGAGAGGCUGAAAGUGCAAAAUUCUUACCUUCACCCAUGUACCGUUAUGUUUUUAGGUGGUAUCAUAGUGCGAUUCAAUUCGUUGCGCUAGGUAAGUAAAUGCAAAUGCCAAUAUGUCUAGGCCUUCUGGCUAAAUGUCCAAUGCAGAUAUUAUAUACAUCAUAUGCAUAUAGCUUUACAAUCACCUUCAUGCAACAGCGUACUUUAGUUCAGUAUACAAGGUAAGAGAUUAAAACUUUUUAAAAGAUGUCAUCAAGUGUGAAUCAUGUCACUAUUACAAACAAUAUUGAAUCGUGUCGCCAUUACCAGACAGUACAAGGGGAAGACCGAACACUUUUGCAAUUUUUUUUUUCAAACUCUUGAUUUCACUCGCAGGAAAGGGCGCCCAACAGCGUUGAGUAACCUUCGCACAUCGGCACGCAGCUCUGUGUAAAACAUAUGGAGAAAAUGAGAGAGGGGAUUUGGGAGAGGGCACAAGGGUGGCACAUGUGGAUGAUUCUAGAUUUCUUUCCCAGAAACCUCUAAGAUAUAUUCAUCUCUGAUUUUAGAAAGAAAAAAAAUUUGAAAAAAAAAUUGCUGUGCCUUCAUUUCUCUUAUGUUUUGUACACAACCCAAAAUGCCGAUACACGACUGUCUAAUUACUCAAUGCUGUGGGGCGCUCUUCCCGAGCGUUUCGAUUCAUGCUUUAUUGAGUGUCCAGCCUUCCCCUUGUAGUGUCUCUAUAACAAACAAUAUCUUCUCCAUGUUAAUAGUAAUAUGUAUUCUAUUUUUCUUGUAUUUUGAAGAUAUAAUCAGUUUGCUGUGAGUGCAUAAUAUUAAUCUAUAUACCAAGAGUGCUAUUAUAUUUAUGCAGAAACAUUCCAUUUUUAUCUUUUUAUAGUAUUCAGAAAUUAUUUAUGAACAAAAUGAAAAUGUGAAUCCUGCCUUUCUAUUACCAAUUGCCAUUCAAAUCAAAUGAAAUAUUGUGAUUUGUGCUGCCAUUUUGCGAAUAAUGUAUGUUAUAAUUCAAAGCAUGAUGAUCAAAAUAAAUAAAUGUAACUUUUAUCUUUCCAUU